AGAGUGAACGCUGGCGGCAGGCCUAACACAUGCAAGUCGAACGGCAGCACAGGGGAGCUUGCUCCCUGGGUGGCGAGUGGCGGACGGGUGAGGAAAACGUCGGAAUCUGCCUAUUUGUGGGGGAUAACGUAGGGAAACUUACGCUAAUACCGCAUACGACCUACGGGUGAAAGCGGAGGACCUUCGGGCUUCGCGCAGAUAGAUGAGCCGACGUCGGAUUAGCUAGUUGGCGGGGUAAAGGCCCACCAAGGCGACGAUCCGUAGCUGGUCUGAGAGGAUGAUCAGCCACACUGGAACUGAGACACGGUCCAGACUCCUACGGGAGGCAGCAGUGGGGAAUAUUGGACAAUGGGCGCAAGCCUGAUCCAGCCAUGCCGCGUGUGUGAAGAAGGCCUUGGUUGUAAAGCACUUUGUCGAAAGAAAAGACACCGGUUAAUACCCUGUGUCAUGACGGUACCGGAAGAAUAAGCACCGGCUAACUCGUGCCAGCAGCCG
rnacentral:rRNA from 1 species